UAGGCCGUUGCAACGGCCGAGAAUGAAAAGGGAACAUCGGUGAGAAUCCGAGACUAUACCCGUAGCUGUGAGUUCUAUUCCACUCCGUACACUCUUGUUUGCCACUGCCUCAUCGGGGCGGGAAGGUAGUACGGAGCAGACGAGUCAGAAGACCUGCCUUAUUCUGU
rnacentral:ncRNA from 1 species